CAGCCGCCACGGUAAUACGGAGGGUGCAAGCGUUAAUCGGAAUUACUGGGCGUAAAGCGCACGCAGGCGGUCUGACAAGUCAGAUGUGAAAUCCCCGGGCUUAACCUGGGAACUGCAUUUGAAACUGUCAGGCUGGAGUCUUGUAGAGGGGGGUAGAAUUCCAGGUGUAGCUGUGAAAUGCGUAGAGAUCUGGAGGAAUACCGGUGGCGAAGGCGGCCCCCUGGACAAAGACUGACGCUCAUGCACGAAAGCGUGGGGAGCAAACAGGAUUAGAUACCCCAGUAGUCCCUGUCUCUUAUAC
rnacentral:rRNA from 1 species